rnacentral:rRNA from 1 species
GACGAACGCUGGCGGCGUGCUUAACACAUGCAAGUCGAACGGUGAAGCGCCUUCCUUUUUGGUGGGUGUGGAUGAGUGGCGAACGGGUGAGUAACACGUGAGUAACCUGCCCCCUCCUGCUGGAUAACCGCAUGAAAGUGUGGCUAAUACGGGAUAUUUUGGGCCUGUCGCAUGAUGGGUCUGGGAAAGUUUUGGUUUCGGUUGGGGAUGGGCCCGCGGCCUAUCAGCUUGUUGGUGGGGUGAUGGCCUACCAAGGCGGUGAGGGGUAGCCGGCCUGAGAGGGUGGACGGUCCCACUGGUGCGGCGCCCCCGCGCCGACUACUAGGGGAAGCAGUAGUGGGGACUACUGCACGGGGGGAGGAAGCCUGAUGCAGCGCCGCGGGGUGGGGGAUGGAGUCCUUCGGGUUGUGAACCUCUAUCGCCAGUGAAGCAGGCUUGCCUCGUUUAUGGGUGGGUUGACGGUAGCUGGAUAAGAAGCGCCGGCUAACUACGUG